GACGAACGCUGGCGGCGUGCCUAAUACAUGCAAGUCGAGCGCAGGAAAUCAUCCGAACCUUUCGGGGGGACGUUGAUGGAAUGAGCGGCGGACGGGUGAGUAACACGUAAAGAACCCGCCCUCAGGUCUGGGAUAACCACGAGAAAUCGGGGCUAAUACCGGAUGGGUCAUCGGACCGCAUGGUCCGAGGAUGAAAGGCGCUUCGGCGUCGCCGGGGGAUGGCUUUGCGGUGCAUUAGCUAGUUGGUGGGGUAAUGGCCCACCAAGGCGACGAUGCAUAGCCGACCUGAGAGGGUGAUCGGCCACACUGGGACUGAGACACGGCCCAGACUCCUACGGGAGGCAGCAGUAGGGAAUCUUCCACAAUGGACGAAAGUCUGAUGGAGCAACGCCGCGUGAACGAUGAAGGCCUUCGGGUCGUAAAGUUCUGUUGUAAGGGAAGAACAAGUGCCGCAGGCAAUGGCGGCACCUUGACGGUACCUUGCGAGAAAGCCACGGCUAACUACGUGCCAGCCGCCGCGGUAA
rnacentral:rRNA from 1 species